UUGGCUAAAGCCAAAACUUAGAGGCAUACCACUGUUAAUGGUAAAACUGAAAAUUUCUUUCUAGCCAAG
rnacentral:tRNA from 1 species